CUUUCCAAUUUUCUCUAUUGAUUAUUUUCUUUGGGCUACUUCUUCACUACUAUUCUUCAGUUUCCCAGAGAUGUAUGUCUGGAUUUUUAACUACAGAAUCUCAAUAACAAAAUGUCUGACUGAGAACAAGGAGGGUUCCUGAGCAUUUUUGACCAGUUGUCAGAGGAAAUCAAUUUAAUUUUGGCACAUUUUAAUUCUUUAGGCAUUAAUUUAAUUUUAUUUUUUUCCAUUAGAAGGGUCAUGAAGAAGACCAAAUUUUCUAGCUGGAUAUUUUUCUCUGCCUUAAUAUGUGACAUAGCAAACUUGUAGAAGGAGGGCCUAAGAAACAAAACAAAAUGAAACAAAACAAAACCCUAAUGAAGGCAAAUGUUCACUCAAAGGAUUUCAUGUUAUCAUGAAGUUCAGAUAAUAUUUAAUUUAGUUGAGAAUGAUUUAGAAAAUGCCAAGUCUUUAAGCAAACAUGAUUAAAAUUAUAGCCCUCUGAGGAAACUACAAAAGCUCUACAAG
rnacentral:lncRNA from 1 species